rnacentral:rRNA from 1 species
CUACGGGGCGCUGCAGUGGGGAAUAUUGCACAAUGGGCGAAAGCCUGAUGCAGCAACGCCGCGUGAGUGAUGAAGGCCUUCGGGUCGUAAAACUCUGUCCUCAAGGAAGAAUAAUGACGGUACUUGAGGAGGAAGCCCCGGCUAACUACGUGCCAGCAGCCGCGGUAAUACGUAGGGGGCAAGCGUUAUCCGGAAUCACUGGGCGUAAAGGGUGCGUAGGCGGUUUUACAAGUCAGGUGUGAAAGGCUAUGGCUCAACCAUAGUAAGCACUUGAAACUGUAUAACUUGAGUGCAGGAGAGGAAAGUGGAAUUCCUAGUGUAGCGGUGAAAUGCGUAGAUAUUAGGAGGAACACCAGUGGCGAAGGCGACUUUCUGGACUGUAACUGACGCUGAGGCACGAAAGCGUGGGGAGCGAACAGGAUUAGAUACCCCAGUAGUC